rnacentral:rRNA from 1 species
AGAGUUUGAUCAUGGCUCAGGAUGAACGCUGGCGGCGUGCUUAACACAUGCAAGUCGAGCGAAGCACCUUGACUUGAUUCUUCGGAUGAAGAUCCUGGUGACUGAGUGGCGGACGGGUGAGUAACGCGUGGGUAACCUGCCUCAUACAGGGGGAUAACAGUUAGAAAUGACUGCUAAUACCGCAUAAGACCACAGCACCGCAUGGUGCAGGGGUAAAAACUCCGGUGGUAUGAGAUGGACCCGCGUCUGAUUAGGUAGUUGGUGGGGUAACGGCCUACCAAGCCGACGAUCAGUAGCCGACCUGAGAGGGUGACCGGCCACAUUGGGACUGAGACACGGCCCAAACUCCUACGGGAGGCAGCAGUGGGGAAUAUUGCACAAUGGGGGAAACCCUGAUGCAGCGACGCCGCGUGAGCGAUGAAGUAUUUCGGUAUGUAAAGCUCUAUCAGCAGGGAAGAAAAUGACGGUACCUGACUAAGAAGCACCGGCUAAAUACGUGCCAGCAGCCGCGGUAAUACGUAUGGUGCAAGCGUUAUCCGGAUUUACUGGGUGUAAAGGGAGCGUAGACGGAGUGGCAAGUCUGAUGUGAAAACCCGGGGCUCAACCCCGGGACUGCAUUGGAAACUGUCAAUCUAGAGUACCGGAGAGGUAAGCGGAAUUCCUAGUGUAGCGGUGAAAUGCGUAGAUAUCGGGAGGAACACCAGUGGCGAAGGCGGCCUACUGGGCACCAACUGACGCUGAGGCUCGAAAGUGUGGGUAGCAAACAGGAUUAGAUACCCUGGUAGUCCACACCGUAAACGAUGAUUACUAGGUGUUGGAGGAUUGACCCUUUCAGUGCCGCAGUUAACACAAUAAGUAAUCCACCUGGGGAGUACGACCGCAAGGUUGAAACUCAAAGGAAUUGACGGGGGCCCGCACAAGCAGUGGAGUAUGUGGUUUAAUUCGACGCAACGCGAAGAACCUUACCAGGUCUUGACAUCCUGCGACGAUGCUAGAAAUAGUAUUUUCCUUCGGGACGCAGAGACAGGUGGUGCAUGGUUGUCGUCAGCUCGUGUCGUGAGAUGUUGGGUUAAGUCCCGCAACGAGCGCAACCCUUAUGGUCAGUUACUACGCAGGAGGACUCUGGCCAGACUGCCGUUGACAAAACGGAGGAAGGUGGGGAUGACGUCAAAUCAUCAUGCCCUUUAUGACUUGGGCUACACACGUACUACAAUGGCGUUAAACAAAGAGAAGCAAGACCGCGAGGUGGAGCAAAACUCAGAAACAACGUCCCAGUUCGGACUGCAGGCUGCAACUCGCCUGCACGAAGUCGGAAUUGCUAGUAAUCGCAGAUCAGCAUGCUGCGGUGAAUACGUUCCCGGGCCUUGUACACACCGCCCGUCACACCAUGAGAGCCGGGGGGACCCGAAGUCGGUAGUCUAACCGCAAGGAGGACGCCGCCGAAGGUAAAACUGGUGAUUGGGGUGAAGUCGUAACAAGGUA